AUUGAACGCUGGCGGCAUGCCUUACACAUGCAAGUCGAACGGUAACGCGGGGCAACCUGGCGACGAGUGGCGAACGGGUGAGUAAUGCAUCGGAACGUGCCCGGUAGGGGGGGAUAACUGCUCGAAAGAGCAGCUAAUACCGCAUACGACCGGAGGGCGAAAGGGGGGGAUCACAAGAACUCUCGCUAUCGGAGCGGCCGAUGUCGGAUUAGCUAGUUGGUGGGGUAAAGGCCUACCAAGGCGACGAUCCGUAGCUGGUCUGAGAGGACGACCAGCCACACUGGGACUGAGACACGGCCCAGACUCCUACGGGAGGCAGCAGUGGGGAAUUUUGGACAAUGGACGCAAGUCUGAUCCAGCCAUGCCGCGUGCGGGAAGAAGGCCUUCGGGUUGUAAACCGCUUUUGUCAGGGAAGAAAUCUUCUGAGUUAAUACCUCGGGAGGAUGACGGUACCUGAAGAAUAAGCACCGGCUAACUACGUGCCAGCAGCCGCAGUAA
rnacentral:rRNA from 1 species